rnacentral:sRNA from 1 species
AGGCUUUCUCUUUUAGCCCCGCCUGCUUCCCGGCUCCAGCUGGGGCCGGAGAGGCUGAGUGGUUGGUACGCUGCUCGCUGGCCUCCCAGUCUUCCCAGCAACCGGUGACACUGCCCGCGCGAGACUGACCACUAGCCGACGCGGGCGAGAGGGACAGGAGCCAUGACCCUUUUGCCUGUGGGAUGAGCUCCAGCAUGGGGUGAGGUACAGAAGAGAGACUUGAAGAGCGUGCCUUGGGACUCAAGCGCCAAACCUGUACCCUAGCGAGUGUCCUACUCCGCAUCCGUAAUGGAAGGAAAUGCACAUCUUACUCCAGAGGCACAACAGGGGGACAUCCCAUGCGGCUACUCCUGCCCAGCGUGGUGGGGCAGCAGAAGCUCCAGAGCCCAGACUUGCAGGCUCACGGUGCAGGGUGAACCUGGCCACAGCUCACCCUGGAACAGCCACAAUGUCUGCCCCUUAGAGAAGAACCCUGAAAUCAGACCAGUUUUUGCAGCCUCCCCCUGUCCUCUCUGUUACAGUGCCCUUUCCAGGCCUUAAGUAAAACUUA